CUCUGGUAACAAAGUCCAAUAAAAAUUGGAAUGAUACAGGGAAAAUUAACAUGGUGCCUUCACAAGCAUGACAUACAAAUCCGUGAAGCAUUCUGCACUUUU